rnacentral:rRNA from 1 species
UGAGGAAUAUUGCGCAAUGGGCGAAAGCCUGACGCAGCGACGCCGCGUGGAGGAUGAAGGUCUUCGGAUUGUAAACUUCUGUUAAGUGGGAAGAAAUCUCCAUGAGUAAUAUGCUUGGAGGAUGACGGUACCAUUAGAGAAAGCACCGGCUAACUUCGUGCCAGCAGCCGCGGUAAUACGAAGGGUGCAAGCGUUAUUCGGAAUAAUUGGGCGUACAGGGUGCGCAGGCGGCAUGUUAAGUCAACUGUUAAAUUCUUCGGCCUAACCGGAGGUCAGCAGUAGAAACUGGCAAGCUAGAGGGUGGAAGAGAAAAGUGGAAUUCUUGGAGUAGCGGUAAAAUGCGUAGAUCUCAAGAGGAACACCGAUGGCGAAGGCAGCUUCUUGGUCCACAUCUGACGCUCAGGCACGAAAGCGUGGGGAGCAAACAG